GAUGAACGCUGGCGGCGUGCCUAAUACAUGCAAGUCGAGCGAAGCGGGGACGGGUGAUUACUACGUGGCUAACCUCCUCUAAGAAUGGGAUCACUUCGGGAAACCGGAGCUAAACCGGAUACUUGUCGAUUGUACCGGGCUGCAUUAGCUAGUUGGUACGGUAACGGCUUACCAAGGCGACGAUGCAUAGCCGACCUGAGAGGGUGAUCGGCCACACUGGAACUGAGACACGGUCCAGACUCCUACGGGAGGCAGCAGUAGGGAAUCUUCCGCAAUGGGCGAAAGCCUGACGGAGCAACGCCGCGUGUGUGAUGAAGGUCUUCGGAUCGUAAAACUCUUUUAGUAGGGAAGCGGUACCUACUCAGAAAGCAACGGCUAACUUCGUGCCAGCAGCCGCGGUAAUAC
rnacentral:rRNA from 1 species